UUCUCUCUUGGUUUGUGAUUCUUCAUUAACAUUGGUUGGAUAGAUCGAUUAAGGGUUCCACUUUUAAUUGAUUUCAAAUAUAUGAUCAUGCUAUAAUUUAUUUAUACAUUUAAAUGGUGCUAUGAACGUGGAUUUCUGUUAAUGAAAUCCUUAUUUAUUUGCUUAUUCCAUGGCAACUUUCUUUAAAAGAAAUCGAGGUGAAUGGUUUGCCGAAACAAUAUAAUGGUUUGCUGAAACAAUAUUAGUAAAUUGCCUCAUGAUAAGAUCAGAUGAAGACAUCAUAAUUUCCUGAAAACCUUGAGGCCGAAACAUAUGCGGUAAUUAGCAAAUCUCUUAAUUUGUUUGUAGCUGUUUUUUCUCAAUCUGUUAUGAGGUAUAGAUUAGUUUUCCAAAUCACCAAAAACACUUUGAAAAGGCACACUUGGAGGGUUACUGAGUAAUCAUCAUUAUCAUUAUCAUCAAUCUAUUAAAAACAAUAUGAAAUAAAUAGUACCAACUACCACAUUUUCUGCUUUUAUUGGGUGCUAUUGGCGGUGAGGAUACGAGUUCAAGUUUAGGUUAUCAAGAACAGAGAGAUGCGAGUGCAAAAGAUGGGAUGAUACACGAGUAAUUGUUUUUCAUAUACAAUUGGCAUAUUAGCACUUAGCGGUGAGUUGGUUCGUUGUAGAACCCUAUACGGAGGACGACAUGGCGGGAGGAGAGUUCUCUGGCGACGACGUCAAAGAAAUUGGUGUCUUUGUUGUGUGUUCUGACGGGAAAGGGGCGAUGUGUACCCUGGCUUCUCAAGCCCAAACUUUGGCGGAAGAGGUGGACCGGUGAUGACUGCUCAAACGAUGGUAGGUGGCUAGCUACGCAACAUCGACGUCGACGAAACCAAGAACGAGAUGAAAUAAGGUUGAUAAUGACUACCAAGACGAACUGAUUAGAACCCUUAGGACAUUAAGGGUUGAUGAUUUGGAGCACCGACAGAGAAUUGUCGAGUUAAGGCAGACUAAUUGAUGAUUGACAUCAUCACCUCCUCUUCUUCCACGGAGUCUUAAACCUGGGAUAACUCAUAGGUUCACUCACUCUGAUUCCUUACAAGAUCGCUUCAAGAUCCCUAAUCCUGUUGAGAAGAAGACGGUUUUCUCGGGUUCCACAGAAUCUACUCUAUGGCGGUGUUGACUGGUGGUGGAAGGGUUGUGACGACGACGUUCAGGUCACCCACUAUAACAGAUCAAGAAACGAAGGGCAUGGUGGAGUUCUGGUAGUCUAGCCGCCACCUCCGGUGAUGGCGGCUAGGGUCCAGACGAGAUUUCGGAGAAACUCCGAUAGGCUCGAACACGCAUGCAUGUUCUAUUUUCAUGGAGGUCGGAAACUCUCAAGGUUAGAUUCUAAGUUUGGGGGUGUUCCUUCUAUUUUUCGGUGACAUGUGUAAGCUUCAUGUGGUUCAAGUUUCGAAACAUGUUGAGUAUUGGUGACGAUCAAGUUGGAGGGUUGUACGCACGGCCAGGGGGUAUACAUGAUCCCAACAGGAGAAAGUGGUGGGGAACAACGACGACGCGUAGCAGAGGCUGGUGAAAGUUGGUCAACUUCACUUUUUGCAGCCAAAUACCUAUUAAAGAUACAGAGGCGGCUAAAGUGGCGGAGAUACUAGCGGGGUAUGGGGUGGAUCCACAUGCGUAUGGACCGGUAGUGAAUUCUCUCAGGAAGGACACCGAAACCAUGGCUUGAUUUCAUGAUGAAGGCAAUAAUGAAACAAAAGGUGCAGCCAAUAUUGCAUAAGGAUGGUUAGACAGUGGUUCAAAAAGUAGUGCUUAGUUCAAGGUGUGAAGUGAACUAUAUAUAAUCUGGAUGAUUAUGGCUGUAGUAUCUGGUAUCCAUCAAGAUUGUUAAGUAAUACCAUUUGAUAAUUUAAAAGAGUUGGUUAUGUGAUAAGGAAUUCUAACCAAGUGGUUAUUAUGAGGAGAUAAUGGUUGCGAAACACAUUUAGAAUGCAUCCCCAAUUUUUGACAUUCAAGAAUUUGGGUAAUCCUCUUAUCUACAAUUUUUUAUUGUAGUAAAAAGUUUCCUGUUCUUUCA